CGGUCUGGUAGUUCAGUUGGUUAGAAUGCCUGCCUGUCACGCAGGAGGUCGCGGGUUCGAGUCCCGUCCAGACCGU
rnacentral:tRNA from 3 species